CUCUCAAGUUCUCCAAAGUUUCUACAAUACCCAUCUUUGAUUGGAGCUUCUUGGUAAAGUUGCAGAUGCGAAAUAAAUUUGAAUCAAUUGCUUGUAUUGCGCAUCAUUAAGCUAAUCAAGAGCUACAAUAUACAUACACUAACUCGAAUCGAGUUACGACAUAUAAAAGUAGGUAAAAGCUCAAUUUUUGCAUCCCAGAUCACUUGGAAUUUUAACAAGAAGCAUAAUACAUGUUGCUAAAUCUUUAUACAUUGUUUUUCAACCAUUACUAUUAAAUCUUUGGGACAUUUUACUAAAAAUCUAGGUACUUGCAGUGCCAUACUUUGUAAAAAAAUAUUUCGUCAGAGCGGCCGAAAAUAAUCCAAACAGCAUAUGCUUUUCUUCAUCUAUCGUAUAAAGAAUGCAAAACUUCGGAAUAAAUGAAGUUAUUUCCGGAUGUUACGCGGAAAAUGCAGAAUAUAAACAAACAUCAACUGCCAUUUCAAAUUAAUAGUGAACUGUCGGAUGAAUUUUGACAGGUAAAUGAACCAAAACAACUUGUAUUUUCAUGGUCACUAAUAUUACAAGUGCUAUUAAUAUUAGUUGAAAAUUGAGCCUUCAUGCAACACAAAUUAUUAGCACUUGUAAUAUUUUUUUUUAUUCUUAAUCACUUAACCUAAUUUACAGCUCUAUUGUCCACUGGGGCACUACGUGAGCAAUUUCAAUUGACAGUUGCACUUACAUUUUGUACAGCGUCUAGAUUCUAUUCUACUUUAUCGAACUGGUUCCCUUUCUGCUGCUUUUACUUUUCUACUUUAUACCUGGUAGAAUGAUGAGCACAAGGAUGAUGAUGGAUGGCCGUUGUUCCUUUCCAGUCCGAUUGGGGGUCCAUUAUGAGUAGCAGUUCGCCGAUGUCCAGGUAUCCGGGUCCGUUUGAGCCAUGGGGCUCAGAAGAGGGUCAGUGUCAGUUGCUCUCGGGGGAAAAGCAACUGACGAAAAAUUGCAAGUGCCGGGGCUGGGAAUCAAACCCAUGACCAUCCGCAUAUGAAGCGAACGUGUGACCAACUACGCCACGGGCCCCGAACUUGUAAUAUUAGUACUUGUAACUUGUAACUUGUAGCUAAUAUUAUUAGCCCGAUUAUGCUACAGGGCCCAGGUCCGCUCCAAGUAAGUACACUUGGAGAAAGGACAACUUUGUCCUAAUUCACCAAAAGAGAAAACAACGAGGUGUGUGUUGAUAUGCGGUUCUCAGCAAUUUCCUCUAGAAGACCGAAUACCCGUAGAUGAUACAUCCAAGAAAGUGCUUCUUGUUCAAGAUGAAUUUAUAGUGGGGCAACGUCAAAGAGAACUUCGAGCGCUGCCGCCCGUGGGAGUUGAAGAGAGCGCUCCAGACAUCGCUAUAAAGCACAUCCUUUGGAGAUUGCCUGAUUUUGAUUGGAUCCAGAUUGGAGACAUCUAUAAACUAAUAUUGGUCGAACAACAGUUAGUGUAGAGUAGACCCAUUUGAUAUACUUGGGUUUUGACCCCAAGUUGUAUCAAAGAUUCACCAGCAUUUACCGAAGGCCAUAUGUACAAACAUUCUUGAUUCUAAACUCAAUGUGAGAUAUCCAGAAAAGCUUGGAAUCAAGAAUAACUCCAACGUAUUUCACCUGUUCCAAUAUGACAUCGAAAGGCACGUUGCCAAAGGCACCCUCGAUAUUUAAGAAAACACCCAAACAGGAUUGCUUUUCAGCGAACGCCUUCUCGAUAUCGUAAAACCUUAUGUAGAACAGUCACAGUGGACUUACCGGAUUGGGCACCAUGAAUAUCAUUGGCAUUAUUUCGAAGGUAGUCCAUGACAUUUAUCUAAAACAUUUGAAAAAGAUCGGUUUUUCCAUGACUCACAUGUAGAACUGGUCUAGCCGCACAAGUUUUUCAUAUACCAUAUUCUCGAUAUUCUCAGGUUGAGCUUCUAAAAUAAGCUGGAUAUGUUUGAAUUUAGACAUGUCGAAAUGACAUUUUCAGCACUGCCUGAAAGCCUCCAAACCAGCUCAACGUCGUUUGUUCCAACUCUUUCUACAUUGUUUCCUGAGCUUCGCCAGAUCAGGGUUCCACCAAGGCGUUCCUCUUGCGUCCCUUACAGACCGUGGAGGACUUCUUCAAAAGCUUCCAUGAUGAGGGCCGUUGUAGUAUCAACGGCAUCAUCUAAAAUCUAUUGACAGAUGGUGAGUAUCCAUGAAAUUUGGCCGCAAUCAGACCAGUAAAGAGAUCCCAGUUGGUUGAUCGGGGAUUUCUUUUUUUUUUUUUUUUUUUUUUUUUUUUUUUUUUUUUUUUUUUAUGGGUUUUCAGUUGGAGCUGCGUGACAGCUUGUUUGUCAAGGCUGAACCCGUUAUUCACAUUUCAUCUCUACAAAGACCAAUGCUUAGACGGAAUAGGCUAUGUUGCCCAAUUUAACACUAGUUUUUUACAUUGUGUCUAUGUAGUUUUAAUCAAAUUUUUGCAUUUUCUCUCCUAUCAUGUCAGGUCAGCCCUCAGUCAUGUCAAGUCAAGUGUGAAGUUAUUUUGAAAAAAAAAAAAAAAUGUUUACCUACGGAAUCUGAAGCACCAUGAACGGUCAUAUCCAAAAGCAAAUUAAUUCUUGGAAAUAACAUAAAGUACAACAUGCUGUCUAUGUCGACAACUAUACUAAUGUUACCACCAAGAAACAUUUUGUUAAAUGUUUAAUCGAAUCUAUGACGGUCAAAUACCAAAUGAAGACAGCAACCCUUGCUGCGAUAACACCUAUGUUGGUAGCCACCUACAGCACUGGCGCUAUCCCCAAUGAUAGACUAUAGACAAUGAUUUUUAAUAUGUCAUGGGCUUCCCAUGAUACGACAUACAAAACCUAGCUAUCUAUUCUAAUGUACAGUCAAAUCAUUCAGCUGUCCUAUCGGUUCUACAUCACCAUGUCAUUCUCUUCCACGUACCCUACAAAUGUCUACCUAGUUAUUAUACAAGGAAACGUUGUUUAGCUGGUGACAAAUAAUAAAUAUUUGUCCAAAAUGUCAUAUACAAGGCAUUAACGCCAAUAAUGCAAUUUAAGUAUUGAGUAUUGAUCACACGUUGGCUUUGUAAAGAUGUCUUCUACUUUGUAAUCAUAAAUUACGUUGUCCAGCUAGUAAAAUUAAUCAGUUUUCGUCAUGUCAAGCUGCGUUGGUAAAAUGCGUCCAAGUAUCGAUCACACGUCAGCUUUGCAACCCAGCACCAUGCUACACCCUCCUUCCCAAUCUCAGUUGACCCCGACAAUUCAGAUAAAUGUAAGCAUUAUGAAAUUUGCAACCAAGUAUCACUGUAGGCACUCAAACAUACUAGGAGCCACCCACAAAACGAUCUCCUACAAAUACUAAGAAUGGAAAUGUUACCAAGUUUCAAGAACUGUGUGUGUGUGUGUGUGUGUGUGUGUGUGUGUGUGUGAAAAACUAACGGUAUCAAUUAUUGCAUAUUUUUCAAAUGAAACUAAUAGUGUUUGUCUAUAUCAACCGAAUGUUUAGAAAAAUAAAUAAUCCCAAGUCUAAAAACAUCUACAUAUAUACAUAUAUAGCUUUCAUAACCCUUCCAUAUAGGGUAAUUCGCUAAUUGUUGAACACUACCCAAAUGUUGAACAGUUUCUGAAUAUUUUAUUAUAAAUCUUACUUAAGUAAUUUUCAUCUAACGUAAACGUAUGAUGUAGAUGCAUAUACAUGUGGGUCACGAUAUUGCUCUAAUUAAGUUACAAAAUUAUACAUAUUUUUCGUCAAAAAAAUUGAUUGAAAAUUUUUUACUGAUGAUGACACAAAAACUGCACAAUUCUUAAGAUUAAUUUUAAGAAAUUGCUGUUACGAACUAAGCUUUGCGGGCAAAUCGACCACAAAUAUCAAAGGCACACCAUAGUUACAAGAACUGGAAGGAUGUCAUUAACAGUUUAACAUUGUUUAAAAUCACAUUUUCAUUAUAAUUUAAUUUGAAAAAAAUAUUUUUCUCAUCACACUAUCAUUAUGCAUCCAUGAUCCAAUUGUUGAACACUGGCAUAACCUACGAUGUUAGCAUGACUGCUAGAAUUUUUUUUUCAGUUUACCUAACCGUACAUUUCGUGGGGUUUCAAAGGCGUUCCAGGGAUGUUCUAGGGGUGUUCCAGUGGGCUUCAGAAAGAUUCCAGUGGUUUUCAAUGGGUUUCAAGGGCGUUUCAGAGGUGUUCAAGAGGAAUCCAGAGUGUUAGGGGGUCCCAGGAGUAUUUCAAGGCGUUCCAGGAGGCUCAGGAGCAAUCCAAGUGUUUUCAAGGGAUUUCAGGGUCGUUCCAUGAGUGUUCUUGGGGGUUGAGUGGGUCCCAUGGGUUUCCAGAAGAGUUUCAGGGGCUUUAAAAGGCGUACUUUUCUUCUGUCGUUUUCGCUUCUAAUCAAAUAUUUCCAGCCAUUUUUGCAUCUUGUCAUCUUUAAACCGAUUUCAGUCCACUAGAGCUCUCUUCAAAUGUGCGAUUCUUUGUCAUUUAAAUGAAUUGUCACUAGCUCGGACUAGCUGGGCACAAAACACAAAAAAACCGGAAAAAAUCCGCCAGGGUGAAAAAAUAUCGGAUGUCGGGUCAAAGUCGGGUCAAUUUUUAUCAAAUGUUGGACCACUGUUGGACCCACAUCGGGUAACUGUCGUGUCUAUGUUGGGUUUGGUGGCCAAAAUAAAAACAGCUGAAUGAUAGGUUGAUGUCGGGUUAUACGUCAUCAAUUACGAACAAAGCUUCAACCGUUCAACAAUUAGCGAGAACCGUCCAACAUUAGGAUGAGCUAGCUUAAGGAAGCGUUCAACAUUUGGGUUACAGACUUCCAAUACAAAUGUUCUAUUUUCUCUUAGAAAAUGGAAUUUAAGGGAAUACAAGUUCAAUGGGCAGUAUAAGGGAUAAGUAGAUCUAGACAUUCACUGGAUAUUUUUCAACUAAAGUGGAAUUAUGCACGGAAAAACAAACGAAAACCAAAAUGCCGGUACUAACCGUUCAACAAUUGGCGAAUUACCCUAUGAUGAAAAAGGAAAUCAAAUGUACUUAGCUUUGAUUAAUUCGAUGUCCUGGUGUCCGACUCAAUACUCGGACGUGGAAUUUGAUGUACAUGAAAAGAUAGAAAAAAUAUUAUUAGUGUUUUGGUGAUACUUUCACUACGGCCAUUCAGAAUGGUUCAACGGAUGCAGAUGAGAAGAUCAUUCCUGCUGUCUUAACAGCGAUCAUCAAACUCAGUGAUAGAUAAACUUGAAAUACACGAACGCGAAAGAAAAACAACAAAUGAACGAACGCGAAUAUUCUAAAAGAGAGAAUGAUCUUCCAUCCGAUCUUCAAGUGAUCCUAACAAGCGACAUAUUUCGUUCAGGCACUUUUGAAUGUCCGUAUGGAACUUGUUCACACAAGAAAUCUGCCUCGACCAAGUUGGCAGAACGCGCC